ACAAUGAUAAUAAAUAUCAUCAGGUUGACUCUGGUGGUUGUGAUGCUGAUUCCUCUGCUUCUGGUUUGUCUGUGGAUGAGAAAGAAGAAAACUCUGAGCUCCACCACUGAACCAAAUGAACCCAUAGAGACAUUAGAGUUGGAGUCUGAUCCUGAUUGUAGCA